rnacentral:lncRNA from 1 species
AAAGUAGUGUACUAUAUAGGGAAUAGGGUCCCUGUGGGCCCUGGUCUAAAGUAGUGUACUAUAUAGGGAAUAGUGUUCCAUAAGUCCCUGGUUAAAAGUAGUGCACUACAUAGGGAAUAUGGGAUCAUUUGGGAUGCAGCCCACAGACUUCACCUCACGUCUGUUUUAACCAUUUCAGUGUUGUGACCCACGUUACGGCUUCCAUUCCCCUGCCGGGAUAUCUUCGUCAGAUCACCUCAUGCCAUUUUCUGGCUACAUGCCAUUUUCUGGCUACAUGUCAUUUUCUGGCUACAUGUCAUUUGAGAUAGUUGUUCCUGACAGUUUGUUCAUUUCCUUGAACCUCCUCAAAGCGACUGAAAGAAGAAUUAAAUUCUUGUGACUGAUAGGAAGAGAGCAUUUCCUGAUCCAGCGACAGACAGAACCACUCUUCUACUCAACAAUACCUUGGUGCUAAUAGAUAAACGCAUAUGACCUUUGACCUCUCUGAGGGGGAGGAGUUGUUACGUGGUUUCCAUGGUUUCCAUGGUCUCUGCCGGGCAGUUGUUGUUGAAAGCUGUCUCUCUCUCUCCCAUUUUUUCCUCCUCUUGUAUAACAAUCUGCUCUUGUCCCUGACUCUAAACGGGUGAAGACAAUCACCCAGCAAGGUGUCUAACACCCUUCUCCUCAUGUCUCCUUCAGAAAGCUGUCUGUCUCUCUCCAUCUCUUCUCCUCAUGUCUCCUUCAGAAAGCUGUCUGUCUCUCUCCAUCUCCUCUCCUCCUCAUGUCUCCUUCAGAAAGCUGUCUGUCUCUCUCCAUCUCUUCUCCUCAUGCCUCCUUCAGAAAGCUGUCUGUCUCUCUCCAUCUCUUCUCCUCAUGUCUCCUCAGAAAGCUGUCUGUCUCUCUCCAUCUCCUCUUCUCCUCAUGCCUCCUUCAGAAAGCUGUCUGUCUCUCUCCAUCUCUUCUCCUCAUGUCUCCUUCAGAAAGCUGUCUGUCUCUCUCCAUCUCUUCUCCUCAUGUCUCCUUCAGAAAGCUGUCUGUCUCUCUCCAUCUCCUCUCCUCCUCAUGUCUCCUUCAGAAAGCUGUCUGUCUCUCUCCAUCUCUUCUCCUCAUGUCUCCUUCAGAAAGCUGUCUGUCUCUCUCCAUCUCCUCUCCUCCUCAUGUCUCCUUCAGAAAGCUGUCUGUCUCUCUCCAUCUCCUCUUCUCCUCAUGUCUCCUUCAGAAAGCUGUCUGUCUCUCUCCAUCUCUUUUCCUCAUGUCUCCUUCAGAAAGCUGUCUGUCUCUCUCCAUCUCUUCUCCUCAUGCCUCCUUCAGAAAGCUGUCUGUCUCUCUCCAUCUCUUCUCCUCAUGUCUCCUCAGAAAGCUGUCUGUCUCUCUCCAUCUCCUCUUCUCCUCAUGUCUCCUUCAGAAAGCUGUCUGUCUCUCUCCAUCUCUUCUCCUCAUGUCUCCUUCAGAAAGCUGUCUGUCUCUCUCCAUCUCUUCUCCUCAUGUCUCUUUCAGAAAGCUGUCUGUCUCUCUCCAUCUCUUCUCCUCAUGUCUCUUUCAGAAAGCUGUCUGUCUCUCUCCAUCUCUUCUCCUCAUGUCUCCUUCAGAAAGCUGUCUGUCUCUCUCCAUCUCUUCUCCUCAUGUCUCCUUCAGAAAGCUGUCUGUCUCUCUCCAUCUCUUCUCCUCGUGUCUCCUCAGAAAGCUGUGAAGAAGCAGCCAAACAGUAUAAUUCAUGUAUUUCAAAAGAUCUAAAACAGAAGUGUUUAAUUAAUUGUUAUCAGGGGCGAAAUCUGGAUAAAACUAAAAACAUUUAAAAAGAAUAAUUCAAUUAUUCUUUGAAAAGCUCUACCUACUGCUAUAUCCUUCUGUUGAUCUCCUCUUCUCCUUGAUCUGUCUGUCUCUCCAUCUCCUCUUCUCCUUGAUCUGUCUGUCUCUCCAUCUCCUCUUCUCCUUGAUCUGUCUCUCUCAUCUCCUCUUCUCCUUGAUCUGUCUGUCUCUCCAUCUCCUCUUCUCCUUGAUCUGUCUCUCUCUCUCAUCUCCUCUUCUCCUUGAUCUGUCUCUCUCUCUCAUCUCCUCCUCUCCUUGAUCUGUCUCUCUCUCAUCUCCUCUUCUCCUUGAUCUGUCUGUCUCUCCAUCUCCUCUUCGAUCUGUCUCUCUCUCCAUCUCCUCUUCUCCUUGAUCUGUCUCUCUCUCCAUCACGACUAAAACCCAAAGUGCACGCAGACACUGGGCUAGUCAAACCAAAUGGGCAGAAAUAACAGGACUAAAACCCAAAGUUGAAGCGCAUACAGCUGUGAAACCAUAUAACUAUUUGGUAACAAUGCAGACCUCAUAAUAAAUAAAAACCUAAAUGAAUUAAGAUUAAUAAAAUACAAAAAAAAAAAUACAAAAAAAAAAAUGUUUGUUACUUUCCUUUGUUGCUUGUCACAUUUAUAUUACAAUUACAUUGAGAGUUUGAUUUGUUGAGUACCACGGAUACAAUUUGAAAUUGUUGAUGCUUAUUUGAAAAGGAAGUUGUUUUGACUCAAGCAGUGGUCACCAUCGAUGAUGAACCUCGUUUUUCUCUCCUCUCCUCUCCUCUCCUCUCC